AUUGAACGCUGGCGGCAGGCCUAACACAUGCAAGUCGAGCGAGCGACGGACGGGUGAGUACUGUCUGGGAACCUGCCUGUUGGAGAGGGAUAACUACUGGAAACGGUAACUAAUCCCGCGUACCAUCAGAUGUACCCAGGGGGGAUUAGCUGGUAGGUGGGGUAACGGCUCACCUAGGCGACGAUCCCUAGCUGGUCUGAGAGGAUGACCAGCCACACUGGAACUGAGACACGGUCAAGACUCCUACGGGAGGCAGCAGUGGGGAAUAUUGCACAAUGGGCGAAAGCCUGAUGCAGCCAUGCCGCGUGUGUGAAGAAGGCCUUCGGGUUGUAAAGCACUUUCAGUGGGGAGGCGUUACCCGCAGAAUAAGCACCGGCUAACUCCGUGCCAGCAGCCGCGGUAAUAC
rnacentral:rRNA from 1 species